rnacentral:rRNA from 1 species
UACGUAGGUGGCAAGCGUUUGUCCGGAAUUAUUGGGCGUAAAGCGCGCGCAGGCGGUCCUUUAAGUCUGAUGUGAAAGCCCACGGCUCAACCGUGGAGGGUCAUUGGAAACUGGGGGACUUGAGUGCAGAAGAGGAAAGCGGAAUUCCACGUGUAGCGGUGAAAUGCGUAGAGAUGUGGAGGAACACCAGUGGCGAAGGCGGCUUCUGGUCUGUAACUGACGCUGAGGCGCGAAAGCGUGGGGAGCAAACAGG